AUGUGUCACUUUGAAGGUCAAAUGUUUAACCUUGAGUUUCUAAUUGUCCCACAGUAUCCUACUCCCUUGCUAAGAAGAGGUUUAUUAACAAAAUUGGAGGCAAGUCUCAAAUUCCAGCUAAGGCCAAAAUGGAGUUUACUUGCUGGGACUACAGGAGUUCUCCCUGACCAAAUUAGCCAACAGAAAACAAUACUGUGUGAAUGUCUGGAGAGGAGAACAAGAAAUGAAAAUAAUGCAAGCUGUGUGUGGUGGCGCACACCUAUAAUCCCAGCACUUGGGAGGUUGAGGCAGGAGGAUGGCCAUGAGUUUGAGACCAGCCUGGACUACACAAUGAGACCCUGUCUCAGAAGAAAAUAAAGGAAGAAAAGAAAUGAAAAUUAUGGGAAUGAAGGGGUCAUCUCAUGUACAGAUAAGAAUUCAGGAUGAAGAGGUGAUGCGCCAGGAAGCAAUGUUAAAGGGAGGUUAGUUACCCUCUCAGGCAACUUGUGAUUUCUAGGCCUGCUUAACUAUUGUUUCUUUCCCUCCCUUCCUUGCUCCUUCCCUCCUUCCUUCCUUUUUUGCGUCCUUACUUUUUUCCUUC
rnacentral:lncRNA from 1 species